GGUUAAGCGACUAAGCGUACACGGUGGAUGCCCUGGCAGUCAGAGGCGAUGAAGGACGUGCUAAUCUGCGAUAAGCGUCGGUAAGGUGAUAUGAACCGUUAUAACCGGCGAUUUCCGAAUGGGGAAACCCAGUGUGAUUCGUCACACUAUCAUUAACUGAAUCCAUAGGUUAAUGAGGCGAACCGGGGGAACUGAAACAUCUAAGUACCCCGAGGAAAAGAAAUCAACCGAGAUUCCCCCAGUAGCGGCGAGCGAACGGGGAGCAGCCCAGAGCCUGAAUCAGUGUGUGUGUUAGUGGAAGCGUCUGGAAAGGCGCGCGAUACAGGGUGACAGCCCCGUACACAAAAAUGCACAUGCUGUGAGCUCGAUGAGUAGGGCGGGACACGUGGUAUCCUGUCUGAAUAUGGGGGGACCAUCCUCCAAGGCUAAAUACUCCUGACUGACCGAUAGUGAACCAGUACCGUGAGGGAAAGGCGAAAAGAACCCCGGCGAGGGGAGUGAAAAAGAACCUGAAACCGUGUACGUACAAGCAGUGGGAGCACGCUUAGGCGUGUGACUGCGUACCUUUUGUAUAAUGGGUCAGCGACUUAUAUUCUGUAGCAAGGUUAACCGAAUAGGGGAGCCGAAGGGAAACCGAGUCUUAACUGGGCGUUAAGUUGCAGGGUAUAGACCCGAAACCCGGUGAUCUAGCCAUGGGCAGGUUGAAGGUUGGGUAACACUAACUGGAGGACCGAACCGACUAAUGUUGAAAAAUUAGCGGAUGACUUGUGGCUGGGGGUGAAAGGCCAAUCAAACCGGGAGAUAGCUGGUUCUCCCCGAAAGCUAUUUAGGUAGCGCCUCGUGAAUUCAUCUCCGGGGGUAGAGCACUGUUUCGGCAAGGGGGUCAUCCCGACUUACCAACCCGAUGCAAACUGCGAAUACCGGAGAAUGUUAUCACGGGAGACACACGGCGGGUGCUAACGUCCGUCGUGAAGAGGGAAACAACCCAGACCGCCAGCUAAGGUCCCAAAGUCAUGGUUAAGUGGGAAACGAUGUGGGAAGGCCCAGACAGCCAGGAUGUUGGCUUAGAAGCAGCCAUCAUUUAAAGAAAGCGUAAUAGCUCACUGGUCGAGUCGGCCUGCGCGGAAGAUGUAACGGGGCUAAACCAUGCACCGAAGCUGCGGCAGCGACGCUUAUGCGUUGUUGGGUAGGGGAGCGUUCUGUAAGCCUGCGAAGGUGUGCUGUGAGGCAUGCUGGAGGUAUCAGAAGUGCGAAUGCUGACAUAAGUAACGAUAAAGCGGGUGAAAAGCCCGCUCGCCGGAAGACCAAGGGUUCCUGUCCAACGUUAAUCGGGGCAGGGUGAGUCGACCCCUAAGGCGAGGCCGAAAGGCGUAGUCGAUGGGAAACAGGUUAAUAUUCCUGUACUUGGUGUUACUGCGAAGGGGGGACGGAGAAGGCUAUGUUGGCCGGGCGACGGUUGUCCCGGUUUAAGCGUGUAGGCUGGUUUUCCAGGCAAAUCCGGAAAAUCAAGGCUGAGGCGUGAUGACGAGGCACUACGGUGCUGAAGCAACAAAUGCCCUGCUUCCAGGAAAAGCCUCUAAGCAUCAGGUAACAUCAAAUCGUACCCCAAACCGACACAGGUGGUCAGGUAGAGAAUACCAAGGCGCUUGAGAGAACUCGGGUGAAGGAACUAGGCAAAAUGGUGCCGUAACUUCGGGAGAAGGCACGCUGAUAUGUAGGUGAAGUCCCUCGCGGAUGGAGCUGAAAUCAGUCGAAGAUACCAGCUGGCUGCAACUGUUUAUUAAAAACACAGCACUGUGCAAACACGAAAGUGGACGUAUACGGUGUGACGCCUGCCCGGUGCCGGAAGGUUAAUUGAUGGGGUCAGCGCAAGCGAAGCUCUUGAUCGAAGCCCCGGUAAACGGCGGCCGUAACUAUAACGGUCCUAAGGUAGCGAAAUUCCUUGUCGGGUAAGUUCCGACCUGCACGAAUGGCGUAAUGAUGGCCAGGCUGUCUCCACCCGAGACUCAGUGAAAUUGAACUCGCUGUGAAGAUGCAGUGUACCCGCGGCAAGACGGAAAGACCCCGUGAACCUUUACUAUAGCUUGACACUGAACAUUGAGCCUUGAUGUGUAGGAUAGGUGGGAGGCUUUGAAGUGUGGACGCCAGUCUGCAUGGAGCCGACCUUGAAAUACCACCCUUUAAUGUUUGAUGUUCUAACGUGGACCCGUGAUCCGGGUUGCGGACAGUGUCUGGUGGGUAGUUUGACUGGGGCGGUCUCCUCCUAAAGAGUAACGGAGGAGCACGAAGGUUGGCUAAUCCUGGUCGGACAUCAGGAGGUUAGUGCAAUGGCAUAAGCCAGCUUGACUGCGAGCGUGACGGCGCGAGCAGGUGCGAAAGCAGGUCAUAGUGAUCCGGUGGUUCUGAAUGGAAGGGCCAUCGCUCAACGGAUAAAAGGUACUCCGGGGAUAACAGGCUGAUACCGCCCAAGAGUUCAUAUCGACGGCGGUGUUUGGCACCUCGAUGUCGGCUCAUCACAUCCUGGGGCUGAAGUAGGUCCCAAGGGUAUGGCUGUUCGCCAUUUAAAGUGGUACGCGAGCUGGGUUUAGAACGUCGUGAGACAGUUCGGUCCCUAUCUGCCGUGGGCGCUGGAGAACUGAGGGGGGCUGCUCCUAGUACGAGAGGACCGGAGUGGACGCAUCACUGGUGUUCGGGUUGUCAUGCCAAUGGCACUGCCCGGUAGCUAAAUGCGGAAGAGAUAAGUGCUGAAAGCAUCUAAGCACGAAACUUGCCCCGAGAUGAGUUCUCCCUGACUCCUUGAGAGUCCUGAAGGAACGUUGAAGACGACGACGUUGAUAGGCCGGGUGUGUAAGCGCAGCGAUGCGUUGAGCUAACCGGUACUAAUGAACCGUGAGGCUUAACCUU
rnacentral:rRNA from 1 species